AGAAACUUAGGUUAAACAUUAAACCAAGGACCUUCAAAGCCCUAAACAGGAGACCCCCCACCCCCUAGUUUCUG
rnacentral:tRNA from 1 species